AGUGAACGCUGGCGGUAGGCCUAACACAUGCAAGUCGAACGGCAGCACAGGAGAGCUUGCUCUCUGGGUGGCGAGUGGCAGACGGGUGAGGAAUACAUCGGAAUCUACUCUGUCGUGGGGGAUAACGUAGGGAAACUUACGCUAAUACCGCAUACGACCUACGGGUGAAAGCAGGGGACCUUCGGGCCUUGCGCGAUUGAAUGAGCCGAUGUCGGAUUAGCUAGUUGGCGGGGUAAAGGCCCACCAAGGCGACGAUCCGUAGCUGGUCUGAGGGGAUGAUCAGCCACACCGGAACUGAGACACGGUCCAGACUCCUACGGGAGGCAGCAGUGGGGAAUAUUGGACAAUGGGUGCAAGCCUGAUCCAGCCAUACCGCGUGGGUGAAGAAGGCCUUCGGGUUGUAAAGCCCUUUUGUUGGGAAAGAAAUCCAGCUGGCUAAUACCCGGUUGGGAUGACGGUACCCAAAGAAUAAGCACCGGCUAACUUCGUGCCAGCCGCCGCAGUAA
rnacentral:rRNA from 1 species